AGAAUGUGGGUCAGUUCAGUGGCUUUCCAUUUGAAAAAGGCAGUACCCAGUAUAAAAAGAAGGAAGAAAUGUUGAAAAAGUAUAGAAACGCCAUGUUAAAGAGCAUCUGUGAGGUUCUUGAUCUAGAGAGGUCAGGUGUGAACAGUGAACUAGUGAAGAGGAUCUUGAAUUUCUUAAUGCAUCCAAAGCCUUCUGGCAAACCAUUGCCAAAAUCCAAAAAAUCUUCCAGCAAAGGUAGUAAAAAGGAACGGAACAGUUCUGGAACGACAAGGAAGUCAAAGCAAACUAAAUGUCCUGAAAUUCUGUCAGAUGAGUCUAGUAGUGAUGAAGAUGAGAAGAAAAACAAGGACGAGUCUUCAGAAGAUGAAGAGAAAGAAAGUGAAGAGGAGUACAACCUUUCUGCUGUGAGGACAGAAUUCUGGCUCUGUGACAGGCAUCUUUUUUGGUGACCCUCCUUCAAGAGCCCUGCUGCCUAUAACAGAUAGCAACCACCAAAAAAGACAUCUAAAAAAGAAAAAGCAAAACAGAAAGCUACCACUAAAAGUAAAAAAUCUGUGAAGAGUGCUAAUGUUAAGAAGGCGGACAGCAGCACCACCAAGAAGAACCAAAACAGUUCCAAAAAAGAGUCUGGAUCUGAAGAUAGUUCUGAUGAUGAACCUUUAAUUAAAAAAUUGAAAAAGCCACCUACAGAUGAAGAACUAAAGGAGACUGUGAAGAAGUUACUGGCUGAUGCGA
rnacentral:lncRNA from 1 species